GACGAACGCUGGCGGCGUGCUUAACACAUGCAAGUCGAACGGAAAGGCCCUGCUUUUGUGGGGUGCUCGAUUGGCGAACGGGUGAGUAACACGUGAGUAACCUGCCCUUGACUUUGGGAUAACUCCAGGAAACUGGGGCUAUUACCGGAUAGGAGCUCCUGCUGCACGGUGGGGGUUGGAAAGUUUCGGUGGUGGGGGAUGGUCUCGCGGCUUAUCAGCUUGUUGGUGAGGUAGUGGCUUACCAAGGUUUUGACGGGUAGCCGGCCUGAGAGGGUGACCGGCCACAUUGGGACUGAGAUACGGCCCAGACUCCUACGGGAGGCAGCAGUGGGGAAUAUUGCACAAUGGGCGGAAGCCUGAUGCAGCAACGCCGCGUGCGGGAUGACGGCCUUCGGGUUGUGAACCGCUUUCGCCUGUGACGAAGCGUGAGUGACGGUAAUGGGUAAAGAAGCACCGGCUAACUACGUG
rnacentral:rRNA from 1 species